GGGGCCCUUCUCGGGUUACCGAAUUCAGAUAAACUCCGAAUGCCAUGUACUUAUACUCGGGAGUCAGACUGCGAGUGAUAAGAUCCGUAGUCGAAAGGGAAACAGCCCAGACCACCAGUUAAGGUCCCCAAAUAUAUGUUAAGUGGAAAAGGAUGUGGGGUUGCUUAGACAACCAGGAUGUUGGCUUAGAAGCAGCCACCAUUGAAAGAGUGCGUAAUAGCUCACUGGUCGAGUGACCCCGCGCCGAAAAUGUACCGGGGCUAAACAUAUUACCGAAACUGUGGAUGAACCUCUUUAGAGGUUCGUGGUAGGAGAGCGUUCUAAGGGCGGUGAAGUCAGACCGGAAGGACUGGUGGAGCGCUUAGAAGUGAGAAUGCCGGUAUGAGUAGCGAAAGAAGGGUGAGAAUCCCUUCCACCGAAUAUCUAAGGUUUCCUGAGGAAGGCUCGUCCGCUCAGGGUUAGUCGGGACCUAAGCCGAGGCCGAUAGGCGUAGGCGAUGGACAACAGGUAGAGAUUCCUGUACCAGUGCUAAUUGUUUAACCGAUGGGGUGACACAGAAGGAUAGGGAAUCGCACGAAUGGAAAUGUGCGUCCAAGCAGUGAGUGUGAGAAGUAGGCAAAUCCGCUUCUCGCGAAGCAUGAGCUGUGAUGGGGAAGGAAAUUAAGUACGGAAGUUCCUGAUUUCACGCUGUCAAGAAAAGCCUCUAGGAAGAGUAGUACUGCCCGUACCGCAAACCGACACAGGUAGAUGAGGAGAGAAUCCUAAGGUGAGCGAGAGAACUCUCGUUAAGGAACUCGGCAAAAUGACCCCGUAACUUCGGGAGAAGGGGUGCUCUAUUAGGGUGCAAGCCCGAGAGAGCCGCAGUGAAUAGGCCCAGGCGACUGUUUAGCAAAAACACAGGUCUCUGCAAAACCGUAAGGUGACGUAUAGGGGCUGACGCCUGCCCGGUGCUGGAAGGUUAAGAGGAGUGCUUAGCUUCGGCGAAGGUACGAAUUGAAGCCCCAGUAAACGGCGGCCGUAACUAUAACGGUCCUAAGGUAGCGAAAUUCCUUGUCGGGUAAGUUCCGACCCGCACGAAAGGCGCAACGAUCUGGGCACUGUCUCAACGAGAGACUCGGUGAAAUUAUAGUACCUGUGAAGAUGCAGGUUACCCGCGACAGGACGGAAAGACCCCGUGGAGCUUUACUGCAACCUGAUAUGGAAUGUUUGUACCGCUUGUACAGGAUAGGUAGGAGCCGAAGAGACGUGUGCGCUAGCAUACGAGGAGGCAAUGGUGGGAUACUACCCUGGCUGUAUGACCAUUCUAACCCGCCACGCUUAGCGCGUGGGGAGACAGUGUCAGGUGGGCAGUUUGACUGGGGCGGUCGCCUCCUAAAGAGUAACGGAGGCGCCCAAAGGUUCCCUCAGAAUGGAUGGAAAUCAUUCGCAGAGUGUAAAGGCACAAGGGAGCUUGACUGCGAGACUGACAAGUCGAGCAGGGACGAAAGUCGGGCUUAGUGAUCCGGUGGUUCCGCAUGGAAGGGCCAUCGCUCAACGGAUAAAAGCUACCCCGGGGAUAACAGGCUUAUCUCCCCCAAGAGUCCACAUCGACGGGGAGGUUUGGCACCUCGAUGUCGGCUCGUCGCAUCCUGGGGCUGUAGUCGGUCCCAAGGGUUGGGCUGUUCGCCCAUUAAAGCGGCACGCGAGCUGGGUUCAGAACGUCGUGAGACAGUUCGGUCCCUAUCCGUCGCGGGCGCAGGAAAUUUGAGAGGAGCUGUCCUUAGUACGAGAGGACCGGGAUGGACACACCGCUGGUGUACCAGUUGUUCCGCCAGGAGCAUCGCUGGGUAGCUAUGUGUGGCAGGGAUAAACGCUGAAAGCAUCUAAGCGUGAAGCCCCCCUCAAGAUGAGAUUUCCCAUUUCUUCGGAAAGUAAGAUCCCUGAAAGAUGAUCAGGUAGAUAGGUUUGGAGUGGAAGUGUAGCGAUACAUGGAGCGGACAAAUACUAAUCGAUCGAGGACUUAACCAAAA
rnacentral:rRNA from 1 species